AGUCUCUUGGCUGUCUUCAGAUCAAGAUGUAGAACCCUCAGGAACUUCUCCAGCAUCAUGUCUGCCUGGAUGCUGCCACACUUUCUGCCAUGAUGAUAAUGGACUGAACCUCUGAAAGGGUAAGCCAGCCCCAGUUAAAUGUCUGCCUUUAUAAGAGUCUUGGUCAUGGUGUCUCUUCACAGCAAUAAAAUCCUAACUAAGACAGCUUGGAUCUGUGGAGCUUCCCCCAAUUCUGUGCUCUUCCUGACACCCCCUCACCACUACUUCCCUCUCCACAUUCUUUCCCUGGUGGAUUUGUGAAAUUGUAUGAAAAUGUUCCUGCCACUUCAGCUUUUUCUUCUCUCUUAUGGAAAUCUGUCACCAUGCUUUCUGUAGACUCUCAGGGAGAACAGCUUUGCCCAUUAUUCACUAUGGUCCAGCCUAUGACGCCAACUUGUCCUGGGGAUAAUUAGCAAUUUAGCCUAACUUCAUUCUUCUUUUAUUUACUAUUCUGCAUGGAUGGGUACUUUGCCUGCACAUAUUUCUGUGCAUUGAACACUGCUUUGACAAGGCCAGUGGAUCCCUAGGGACUGGAGUUACAGAGGCUGUGAGCUCCACAGAUGUGCCGGGGGACUAACUCGCAUCCUCUGGAAGAGUGGCCAGUGCUCUUACCUACUGAGCCACCACUCUAGGCCCCAACGUCAUUCUUAAGUUGAUUCACUUAAAAUAUGGCACCUGGUGAUCUUCUUAAAAGAUUUAUUUUUUAAGUGUAUGAGUGUACAGACAUGUGUAUGUAUGUGCAUCUCAUGUAUGCCGGUGACCAUGGAAACCAGAAGAGGGAGUCAGAUCCCCUAGAGCUGAAGGAGUUAGAGGGGGUUGCAAGUCACCUAGUGUGAGUCCUGGGAGCCAAACUUAGGUCCUCUGCAAGACCAAGUGUUCUAACCACUGACCAAUCUCUCCAGCUCCACAUUUUAGACAAGGUCUUCUAUGUAGCCCAGGAUGGCCUUAAAGUCUGAGAAAUCCUCCUGUGUCAACCUCUCAACUGCUAGGAUUUCAUAUAUUACGGCAUAUAUGUGCUACCUACCUAGGUAAUAAGUCUUUUAAACAGGCCCUUAUAUUGGAAUAAUGAUGUACUAGUUAGAAAAAAACAUUGUCUGGACCACAAGAUGCCUCAGCAGAUAAAGGCAGCUGCUAUCACACCGAGCAACAUGCAUGCAGGCCCUGGGAUCCACCUGAUGGAAGGAGCUGUUCUCCGACUUCCACACUCAUGUGCCAUGCCCGCACACUCAUGUGAGCACACAGGUGCACACACACACAUAAAAUAAGUAAAAUGUCAUGUAGCAGCUUUUUUGAGUACCACUUUAUAAAACAGUUCAGCAGACAUCACAAAUACACUUAGACGAGUGGGUUCUCCGCCUGAGGGUUGCACACCACAGGAGUCAGACAUCAGGUAUUGACACUAUGAUUCAUAACAGUAGCAAAACUAUAGUUAUGAAGUAGCAAAGAGACUAUGUUAUGGUUGAAGGUCACCACAACGAGAGGAACUAAAUUACCCAGUUAAGAGUGUGAUGUGUGGAGAAUAAUCCAUUAAUGUUAAACAAACAGGAUCUUGUACUAAUAUUUCUAGUGAUAGCAUCAUUCAAGGCUCCAGAAAGGAAAGUGCAAGGUUUCAAACAAAUUAAAAUAAAGGGGAAUGACAUACUCUGGCCUUUAAAGGUAACUAGAAGACUAAAGUCUAUCAUUGGACGCUGAGUAUAACUUCAAUUCCGUCAGUGAACUUCGCUAGCGAUCUCAUUGGAAAAGGGAAAAAUUUAGCACACUCAAAAUAAAAUCAUACAUUUUUGGAAAACUUAACGGCCCUGCUGAGUCUAUAGGACAGUCUGUCCACAUUUAAAAUGGCUUCAUAAUAGUUUUUUUUAAAUUAUUUCUCCUUCCCUGACAGGUAAUUAGCUUCUAGAUUCAAAACAUCGAAUAUGAACAGAUGUAUUAAGAACCACAGCAGGGGUUUUCACAAUGCACUUACACGCGUGCACAUGCGCAGUUGCGCCAGCUGCUCUCAGGGUUCACCACUGCCCAGAUUUGCUUGCAAAAGCCAGAUGAUGGCACUGAUGGACAGAACCAGAGAGAAGGGCAAUAUGCGUUCUUAUGUGGGAUGACAAAGGGAUAUGUUCUUUUCCUGUUCACAGCAACAUCUCAACUUAUAAGAAAGGCAAAUAACUCUCUAUUUAUAAUGGGUAAGUUGAGGUGGCAGGCACUUGUAAUCCCAGCACUGGAGAGACAGAGGUAGGAGGAGCUACAGAUUAAACUGGGAGUCUCAAAAAAUUAAAAAUAAAUAAAAAUAAAAAUGGGGCUGGGCCAGUGAGAUGGCUCAGCUGGUAAAGGUGGGUGCUGGCAAGCCUGGCAUCCCCAGUUCAAUCCCCAGGACUCACAUCAGAAAGGAGAAAACUGACUCUGGGAAGUCACUGUCUGACCUCCACAUACAUGCUCAACACAUACACACAACAACAGCAAUAAAAUAAAGCAAAACGCAGAGGGUGGGGACCAGGAACUCCAGGUCAGUCCUGGGCUACAUGAGAACUUGUCU
rnacentral:lncRNA from 1 species